CCUACGGGUGGCAGCAGUGAGGAAUAUUGGUCAAUGGACGGAAGUCUGAACCAGCCAUGCCGCGUGCAGGAAGACGGCGCUAUGAGUUGUAAACUGCUGUUGUACAAGGGUAAACCGGAAUACGUGGAUGCAGCGGAAAGUACGGUACGAAUAAGGAUCGGCUAACUCCGUGCCAGCAGCCGCGGUAAUACGGAGGAUCCAAGCGUUAUCCGGAUUGAGUGGGUUGAAAGGGUGCGUAGGCGGAUUUAUAAGUUCGAGGGGAAAUGUCCGCGCUUAACUCGGGAACUGCCUCUAAUACUGUUGAUCUAGAGCGUAGAUGCGGUAGGCGGAAUGUAUGGUGUAGCGGUGAAAUGCUU
rnacentral:rRNA from 1 species